CAGCAGCCGCGGUAAUACGGAGGGUGCGAGCGUUAAUCGGAAUAACUGGGCGUAAAGGGCACGCAGGCGGUGACUUAAGUGAGGCGUGAAAGCCCCGGGCUUAACCUGGGAAUUGCAUUUCAUACUGGGUCGCUAGAGUACUUUAGGGAGGGGUAGAAUUCCACGUGUAGCGGUGAAAUGCGUAGAGAUGUGGAGGAAUACCGAAGGCGAAGGCAGCCCCUUGGGAAUGUACUGACGCUCAUGUGCGAAAGCGUGGGGAGCAAACAGGAUUAGAUACCCCAGUAGUCCCUGUCUCUUAUAC
rnacentral:rRNA from 1 species